UACGAAGGGGCUAGCGUUGCUCGGAAUUACUGGGCGUAAAGCGCACGUAGGCGGCUUCUAAGUCGGGGUGAAAUCCUGGAGCUCAACUCCAGAACUGCCUUCGAUACUGGAGAGCUCGAGUCCGGGAGAGGUGAGUGGAACUGCGAGUGUAGAGGUGAAAUUCGUAGAUAUUCGCAAGAACACCAGUGGCGAAGGCGGCUCACUGGCCCGAUACUGACGCUGAGGCACGAAAGCGUGGGGAGCGAACAGG
rnacentral:rRNA from 1 species